rnacentral:rRNA from 1 species
GCCAGCAGCCAUAUCACCCUGGAACUCACAGCAGGCAGCCCCACUGGAGCUCUGCAGGUGUGAGCCUGGUCAGUACCUGGAUGGGAGUCCUCCUGGGAAAAAACUAAGGUUGCUGCUGGAA